ACUUAAAUUGAAGAGUUUGAUCAUGGCUCAGAUUGAACGCUGGCGGCAGGCCUAACACAUGCAAGUCGAGCGGUAACACAGAGAGCUUGCUCUCGGGUGACGAGCGGCGGACGGGUGAGUAAUGUCUGGGAAACUGCCUGAUGGAGGGGGAUAACUACUGGAAACGGUAGCUAAUACCGCAUAACGUCGCAAGACCAAAGUGGGGGACCUUCGGGCCUCAUGCCAUCAGAUGUGCCCAGAUGGGAUUAGCUAGUAGGUGGGGUAAUGGCUCACCUAGGCGACGAUCCCUAGCUGGUCUGAGAGGAUGACCAGCCACACUGGAACUGAGACACGGUCCAGACUCCUACGGGAGGCAGCAGUGGGGAAUAUUGCACAAUGGGCGCAAGCCUGAUGCAGCCAUGCCGCGUGUAUGAAGAAGGCCUUCGGGUUGUAAAGUACUUUCAGCGAGGAGGAAGGCAUUAAGGUUAAUAACCUUGGUGAUUGACGUUACUCGCAGAAGAAGCACCGGCUAACUCCGUGCCAGCAGCCGCGGUAAUACGGAGGGUGCAAGCGUUAAUCGGAAUUACUGGGCGUAAAGCGCACGCAGGCGGUCUGUCAAGUCGGAUGUGAAAUCCCCGGGCUCAACCUGGGAACUGCAUUCGAAACUGGCAGGCUAGAGUCUUGUAGAGGGGGGUAGAAUUCCAGGUGUAGCGGUGAAAUGCGUAGAGAUCUGGAGGAAUACCGGUGGCGAAGGCGGCCCCCUGGACAAAGACUGACGCUCAGGUGCGAAAGCGUGGGGAGCAAACAGGAUUAGAUACCCUGGUAGUCCACGCCGUAAACGAUGUCGACUUGGAGGUUGUGCCCUUGAGGCGUGGCUUCCGGAGCUAACGCGUUAAGUCGACCGCCUGGGGAGUACGGCCGCAAGGUUAAAACUCAAAUGAAUUGACGGGGGCCCGCACAAGCGGUGGAGCAUGUGGUUUAAUUCGAUGCAACGCGAAGAACCUUACCUACUCUUGACAUCCAGAGAACUUAGCAGAGAUGCUUUGGUGCCUUCGGGAACUCUGAGACAGGUGCUGCAUGGCUGUCGUCAGCUCGUGUUGUGAAAUGUUGGGUUAAGUCCCGCAACGAGCGCAACCCUUAUCCUUUGUUGCCAGCGAUUCGGUCGGGAACUCAAAGGAGACUGCCAGUGAUAAACUGGAGGAAGGUGGGGAUGACGUCAAGUCAUCAUGGCCCUUACGAGUAGGGCUACACACGUGCUACAAUGGCAUAUACAAAGAGAAGCGACCUCGCGAGAGCAAGCGGACCUCAUAAAGUAUGUCGUAGUCCGGAUUGGAGUCUGCAACUCGACUCCAUGAAGUCGGAAUCGCUAGUAAUCGUAGAUCAGAAUGCUACGGUGAAUACGUUCCCGGGCCUUGUACACACCGCCCGUCACACCAUGGGAGUGGGUUGCAAAAGAAGUAGGUAGCUUAACCUUCGGGAGGGCGCUUACCACUUUGUGAUUCAUGACUGGGGUGAAGUCGUAACAAGGUAACCGUAGGGGAACCUGCGGUUGGAUCACCUCCUUACCUUAAAGAA
rnacentral:rRNA from 1 species